GACGAACGCGGCGGCGUGCCUAAUACAUGCAAGUCGAACGCACGAAGUUGAAGAGCUUGCUCUUUAACCAAGUGAGUGGCGGACGGGUGAGUAACACGUGGGUAACCUGCCCAUUAGAGGGGGAUAACAUUCGGAAACGGAUGCUAAUACCGCAUAGUUUCAGGAAUCGCAUGAUUCUUGAAGGAAAGGUGGCUUCGGCUACCACUAAUGGAUGGACCCGCGGCGUAUUAGCUAGUUGGUGAGGUAAUGGCUCACCAAGGCAAUGAUACGUAGCCGACCUGAGAGGGUGAUCGGCCACACUGGGACUGAGACACGGCCCAGACUCCUACGGGAGGCAGCAGUAGGGAAUCUUCCGCAAUGGACGAAAGUCUGACGGAGCAACGCCGCGUGAGUGAAGAAGGUUUUCGGAUCGUAAAACUCUGUUGUUAAAGAAGAACAAGGAUGAGAGUAACUGCUCAUCCCCUGACGGUAUUUAACCAGAAAGCCACGGCUAACUACGUGCCAGCAGCCGCGGUAAUACGUAGGUGGCAAGCGUUGUCCGGAUUUAUUGGGCGUAAAGCGAGCGCAGGCGGUUCUUUAAGUCUGAUGUGAAAGCCCCCGGCUCAACCGGGGAGGGUCAUUGGAAACUGGAGAACUUGAGUGCAGAAGAGGAGAGUGGAAUUCCACGUGUAGCGGUGAAAUGCGUAGAUAUGUGGAGGAACACCAGUGGCGAAGGCGACUCUCUGGUCUGUAACUGACGCUGAGGCUCGAAAGCGUGGGGAGCAAACAGG
rnacentral:rRNA from 1 species